CCUUAGAGUUUGAUCCUGGCUCAGGAUGAACGCUAGCUACAGGCUUAACACAUGCAAGUCGAGGGGAAACGAUAUUGGAAGCUUGCUUCCGAUAGGCGUCGACCGGCGCACGGGUGAGUAACGCGUAUCCAACCUGCCCACCACUUGGGGAUAACCUUGCGAAAGUAAGACUAAUACCCAAUGAUAUCUCUAGAAGACAUCUGAAAGGGAUUAAAGAUUUAUCGGUGAUGGAUGGGGAUGCGUCUGAUUAGCUUGUUGGCGGGGUAACGGCCCACCAAGGCGACGAUCAGUAGGGGUUCUGAGAGGAAGGUCCCCCACAUUGGAACUGAGACACGGUCCAAACUCCUACGGGAGGCAGCAGUGAGGAAUAUUGGUCAAUGGGCGAGAGCCUGAACCAGCCAAGUAGCGUGCAGGAUGACGGCCCUAUGGGUUGUAAACUGCUUUUAUAAGGGAAUAAAGUGAGCCUCGUGAGGCUUUUUGCAUGUACCUUAUGAAUAAGGACCGGCUAAUUCCGUGCCAGCAGCCGCGGUAAUACGGAAGGUCCGGGCGUUAUCCGGAUUUAUUGGGUUUAAAGGGAGCGUAGGCCGGAGAUUAAGCGUGUUGUGAAAUGUAGAUGCUCAACAUCUGAACUGCAGCGCGAACUGGUUUCCUUGAGUACGCACAAAGUGGGCGGAAUUCGUGGUGUAGCGGUGAAAUGCUUAGAUAUCACGAAGAACUCCGAUUGCGAAGGCAGCUCACUGGAGCGCAACUGACGCUGAAGCUCGAAAGUGCGGGUAUCGAACAGGAUUAGAUACCCUGGUAGUCCGCACGGUAAACGAUGGAUGCCCGCUGUUGGUCUGAAUAGGUCAGCGGCCAAGCGAAAGCAUUAAGCAUCCCACCUGGGGAGUACGCCGGCAACGGUGAAAC
rnacentral:rRNA from 1 species